UCUCCAUGAAUGAUUAUGAGCACCGCUCUGGUGCACAUCUGUGUCUUUUGCGGUGAUCGUUUGCUUGUUUUUAUGUUUUGCUAUAUCUAGGCAACAAAAGGAAGCCUGAAGAGCUUUUCCUUUCAACAGUUACACCAGGUUUGAUUUCAUAACCCUCUUUUACACUUGACGGUGCACUGUGAGCAUCUGAGAAAUUUCCUUUGCUCAAACUGCAAAACGCCUUGGACGAUUAGCACCGUCUAUUCUCACCCUCAUGAAAUUCUUUCUCCAUUCUCAUGGAAAACGCAGCAUCACUUCUGAGACUUAAAUUUGUAGAUUGAAAAUUCCCAUUGUAGUCAGUCACAGCCUAAAUCGUCAGAUGGGCCUUUGGCUCAGUAUGAGAAACAGAGGUACGGGAUGAAACAUUUAGCAAUUGAUUUUUUCCAUCUCCCAAGCACUCAGGAUUUGAUUCAGAAGGGCUGUUCCCAUUGCACAAUUCAGGACUAGCUGCUGCUGGGACACACACUGAGCGGCAGGACAAAGGAACAUGGUGGGACAGGGAGCAGCCCAGCGCUCCAUGCUGCUGCUGCAGACUUUACUCUUACAAAAACCUCCUCUUCAAUCAAAUAUAUUUGCAAUUUGGGUGAUGUUCCUGUAUUUCUUUAAAGCCGACCACUUCUAUACACACACGUGGAAAGUGGAGGAGCGAACUGCUGCACCAGGAAGAGUUAGUCAUUUGUCCAGGAUUAUUUUUCCAGGUGGAUUUUAUGAGAAGCACAAGGCAGGAGGAGGUACAGCGCAACAGUCUGCCACAUGGUGUGCAGUUCUGCCCCAUCCUUUAAGCAUGAUCCCCUCAAGUGUGAGAGCACCAGAAGAUGAUGAAGGGAGUCAAAAGUCCUCCUUGGGGGUUUGACAUCUGUGCUCAGGCUGUUGAAGCCCACAUUCAGCCACCUGCAAGGGAUGCAGAGCCAGCUCAGAUUUUGGCUGGGCUGGCUGAGACCCAGAGCUGCUGACCAAAGUGGAGCUGUACCAGACAGACAGGAACAUGGCUGAAGUCUGUGAUUCCGUGGUAUCCUGUUCACCCUCAUACAAACCAGGCCACUUCUGCAGGAGUUCAGCACUUCUGUAGAAGAGAACCUGGGAGGUAAUCCAGUGGCCACCAGUCCCUGAGAUGAAUGCAGCAGUGAUAAGCUCUGCUUAUCAGGGCUUAUCAGGGCAAAUACAGGCAGCAUUGUAUACAAUGAGAAAAGUCAUGGAAAUAGAGAAUACAGCAGGUAGAAGAUUUUGACUUUCAGUAAAGCACUGGCUCUGAAAUUA